rnacentral:rRNA from 1 species
AUUCCAAUCGAACGUGGAGAUAGCUGGUUCUCCCCGAAAUAGCUUUAGGGCUAGCCUCAGGGAAAAGAUUGCAGGCGGUAGAGCACUGAUCAGGAGAGGGACCUACCCGGUUACCAAACCCAGUCAAACUCCGAAUGGCUGCAAUCAUACCUGGGAGUCAGACUGCGACUAAUAAGGGCCGCAGUCAAAAGGGAAACAGCCCAGACCAUCAGCUAAGGUCCCUAAUGCCGUGCUAAGUGGCAAAGGAUGUGGCAUUUCAUAAACAACCAGGAUGUUGGCUCAGAAGCAGCCACCAUUUAAAGAGUGCGUAAUAGCUCACUGGUCGAGAGACGCUGCGCCGAAAAUGUCCGGGGCUCAAGCACGGAACCGAAGCUAUGGCAUGAUAGCAAUAUCAUGGGUAGGGGAGCGUUCUUAUAAGGAAGAAGCAUGACCGGAAGGACAUGUGGACAAAUAAGAAGUGAGAAUGCCGGUAUGAGUAUCGAAAAGAAAGGUGAGAAUCCUUUCCACCGAAAGCCCGAGGGUUCCUGAGCAACGAUCGUCGACUCAGGGUAAGUCGGGACCUAAGCCGAGGCGAAAAGCGUAGGCGAUGGACAACAGGUUGAAAUUCCUGUACCGGAUCAAGUCGAUUGAGCGAAGGAGCGACGCAGGAGGGCACAUGAUCGCGCGGCUGGAAGAGCGCGUCCAAGUGCGUAUGUUGCAGCAGAGGAAAACCCCUGCGGCUGAAAGCAGAGACAUGAUGGGGAGUUAAAGGAAACUUUGACGAACUCAUGAAUCCCACACUGCCAAGAAAAACUUCUAGCGAGACAAGAUCCGCCCGUACCGUAAACCGACACAGGUAGGCGGGGAGAGAAUCCUAAGGUGCGCGGGAAAACCCUCGUUAAGGAACUCGGCAAAUUGCAUCCGUAACCUAGGGAGAAGGAUGGCCCCCGGUCAGUGAAGAGCAGAAACGCUCAGAGCUAAAAGGGGCGGCAGAAAAGAGGCCCAAGCAACUGUUUACCAAAAACACAGGUGCCUGCGAAAGCGAAAGCUGAAGUAUAGGUGCUGACGCCUGCCCGGUGCCGGAAGGUUAAGGAGAGAAGUUAGCGAAAGCGAAGCAUCGAACUGAAGCCCCGGUGAACGGCGGCCGUAACUAUAACGGUCCUAAGGUAGCGAAAUUCCUUGUCGGGUAAGUUCCGACCCGCAUGAAAGGCGUAAUGAUUUGGGCACUGUCUCAACGAGGGGCCCGGUGAAAUUGAAAUACCUGUGAAGAUGCAGGUUACCCGCGACUGGACAGAAAGACCCCAUGGAGCUUCACUGCAGCUUGAGAUUGAAUCCCGGUGACAGAUGCACAGGAUAGGUGGGAGGCGCCGAAGCAUUGCCCUAGGGCGGUGCGGAGCCGAUGUUGGGAUACCACCCUUCUGUUGCUGAGAUUCUAACGCGAGGAGUAACGACCCUGCGGACCCUCUCAGGCAGGCGGUUUGACUGGGGCGGUCGCCUCCGAAAGAGUAACGGAGGCGCCCAAAGGUUCCCUCAGGCCGGACAGAAACCGGCCGAAGAGUGCAAAGGCAGAAGGGAGCUUGACUGCGAGACCAACAAGUCGAGCAGAGACGAAAGUCGGGCUUAGUGAUCCGGUGGUACUGAGUGGAAAGGCCAUCGCUCAACGGAUAAAAGCUACCCUGGGGAUAACAGGCUAAUCUCUCCCAAGAGUUCAUAUCGACGGGGAGGUUUGGCACCUCGAUGUCGGCUCAUCACAUCCUGGGGCUGGAGUAGGUCCCAAGGGUUGGGCUGUUCGCCCAUUAAAGUGGUACGCGAGCUGGGUUCAAAACGUCGUGAGACAGUUUGGUUCAUAUCCAUCGCGGGCGCAAGAAGUUUGAGAGGAGCUGCUCCUAGUACGAGAGGACCGGAGUGGACGGAUCAACGGUGUCCCAGUUGUCACGCCAGUGGCACGGCUGGAAAGCCGCAUCCGGGAAGGAUAAACGCUGAAAGCAUCUAAGCGUGAAGCCAACCUCAAGAUGAGACUUCU